rnacentral:misc_RNA from 1 species
AAGUUGUAACAAGGUUUCCGGAGGUGAACCUGCGGAAGGAUCAUUAACACGUAUCCAAACGUAAAAAAACCCCCCCGGUGAACAUUAUCAAUCCUGCUCUUGUAACCCGCGUAGUUCGCAAUCUCUGGUAAAUCAUAGCCCGGAAAGUAGUUUUGAUUCCGAGACCUCUGGCUACGUGAGAACAUUGGAACAGUUACAAUCGAGCGGUAGUUUCAAAGAUUCCUGUAGACCGUACACUCGGGCAGGAGCUAUGCCAAAGGGUCCCCAUGCCCCCUUAUAACCCCACAGUUUAAUGUGAAGCUCAAUGUAAUACAUUGGGUAAAAAAACCGAACAACUGUUAACAAUGGAUAUCUUGGUUCUCA